rnacentral:rRNA from 1 species
UACGUAGGUGACCAGCGUUGUCCGGAUUUACUGGGCGUAAAGGGCUCGUAGGUGGCCAACUAAGUCAGACGUGAAAUCCCUCAGCUUAACUGGGGAACUGCGUCUGAUACUGGAUGGCUUGAGUUUGGGAGAGGGAUGCGGAAUUCCAGGUGUAGCGGUGAAAUGCGUAGAUAUCUGGAGGAACACCGGUGGCGAAGGCGGCACCCUGGACCAAGCCUGACGCUGAGGAGCGAAAGCCAGGGGAGCAAACGGG